AUGGCCCGCGUCAGACUCGACCUCGAGAUAUUCUGCACCUCCCACCUUGUCAGCGUCGUCGACGGCCUGCUCGUCAUGUGCGACAAGGCAAGCAACACCGUCCGCCUUCUUCACCCGUUCACCGGCAUGCUCGCUGAGUUCCCCGACAUCACCAAUGUACGGUCCUACGGUGGCGCAGAACCGAAUGCCCGGCUCGGCAUGGAUGCCUUCAAGGCCCACUUCCCUGGCCUUGGCGCUGAUCCAAAUGCCUACCUCACCACGGAUGACUACAAAUCUGGCUACCCUGCCACUAAGACGGUCAUGGACUUUGCCAGCAUCGAUGACUCCACUUCCCCGCCGACCCUCCACCUCUGCGUGCAAAAUGGGUCAUGGCUAGUCAUCGGUGCCAAGCCUGGUGAUGAGCACUGGGUCUCCCUGGAUCCUUGCCAUGUGAGGGGCAACACACGGACCAUGUUGCAUUGUGCUCUACUGGUGAAGUGGUGA
rnacentral:rRNA from 1 species